UAGAUGAGGAGCGAUAACGAGGCUGCUUGCAGCCGAAGUGAGUGAUACCCUGCUUCCAGGAAAAGCCACUAAGCUUCAGCUACACACGACCGUACCGCAAACCGACACUGGUGCGCGAGAUGAGUAUUCUAAGGCGCUUGAGAGAACUCAGGAGAAGGAACUCGGCAAAUUGACACCGUAACUUCGGAAGAAGGUGUGCCUUUAGUAGGUGAAGGGAUUUACUCCUGGAGCCCAAUGAGGUUGCAAAAAAUCGGUGGCUGCGACUGUUUAUUAAAAACACAGCACUCUGCAAACACGAAAGUGGACGUAUAGGGUGUGACGCCUGCCCGGUGCUGAAGAUUAAAUGAUGGGGUGCAAGCUCUUGAUUGAAGUCCCAGUAAACGGCGGCCGUAACAAUAACGGUCCUAAGGUAGCGAAAUUCCUUGUCGGGUAAGUUCCGACCUGCACGAAUGGCGUAACGAUGGCCACACUGUCUCCUCCUGAGACUCAGCGAAGUUGAAAUGUUUGUGAUGAUGCAAUCUCCCCGCGGAAAGACGGAAAGACCCCAUGAACCUUUACUGUAGCUUUGUAUUGGACUUUGAACAGAUCUGUGUAGGAUAGGUGGGAGGCUUUGAAGUAGGGUCGCUAGAUCUUAUGGAGCCAACGUUGAAAUACCACCCUGGUGUGUUUGAGGUUCUAACCUAGGUCCAUUAUCUGGAUCGGGGACAGUGCAUGGUAGGCAGUUUGACUGGGGCGGUCUCCUCCCAAAGCGUAACGGAGGAGUUCGAAGGUACGCUAGUUACGGUCGGACAUCGUGACGAUAGUGCAAUGGCAUAAGCGUGCUUAACUGCGAGACUGACAAGUCGAGCAGAUGCGGAAGCAGGACAUAGUGAUCCGGUGGUUCUGUAUGGAAGGGCCAUCGCUCAACGGAUAAAAGGUACUCUGGGGAUGACAGGCUGAUACCGCCCAAGAGUUCAUAUCGACGGCGGUGUUUGGCACCUCGAUGUCGGCUCAUCUCAUCCUGGGGCUGUAGCCGGUCCCAAGGGUAUGGCUGUUCGCCAUUUAAAGAGGUACGUGAGCUGGGUUUAAAACGUCGUGAGACAGUUUGGUCCCUAUCUUCCGUGGGCGCUGCAGAUUUGAGGAAGCCUGCUCCUAGUACGAGAGGACCGGAGUGGACACACCUCUGGUGUAUCGGUUGUCACGCCAGUGGCAUUGCCGAGUAGCUAAGUGUGGAAGAGAUAACCGCUGAAAGCAUCUAGGCGGGAAACUCGUUUCAAGAUGAGAUCUGCCGGGGCCUUGAGCCCCCUAAAGAGUCGUUCAAGACCAGGACGUUGAUAGGUCAGGUGUGGAAGCGCAGUAAUGCGUUAAGCUAACUGAUACUAAUUG
rnacentral:rRNA from 1 species